GCCAGGCGUGGUGGCUCACGCCUGUAAUCCCAGCACCUUGGGAGGCUGAGGCGGGCGGAUCACCUGAGGUCAGGAGUUUGAGACCAGCCUGACCAACAUGGAGAAACCCUGUCUCUA
rnacentral:SRP_RNA from 1 species